UUCCAUUGUGUAUAUGUACCAUAGCUUCCUUAUCCAUCCGUCUACUGAUGGGCAUCUAGGUUGCUUUCAUAUCCUGGCUAUUAUAAACAGUGCUGUGAUGAACAUUGGGGUGCAUGUGUCUAUUUCAGAUCUGGUUUACUUGGUGUGUAUACCCAGAAGUGGAAUUGCU